rnacentral:lncRNA from 1 species
GGCACUCACCCGGCUCGCGCGGCCCCGGCGCCCCACGCGCGCGCGUCGUUCUCCCGCCCGCUCGCUCCCCGGCGCUCACACCUGAGCUCACUCGCGCACGCCCGCCCGGCCCGAGAACCGCGCCGCCGCCUCGGCCCCGCGGAAGCCCCGCCGCGUCAUGUCUUCGCCUCCCGAAGGGAAACUAGAGACUAAAGCUGGACACCCGCCCGCCGUGAAAGCUGGUGGAAUGCGAAUUGUGCAGAAACACCCACAUACAGGAGACACCAAAGAAGAGAAAGACAAGGAUGACCAGGAAUGGGAAAGCCCCAGUCCACCUAAACCCACUGUGUUCAUCUCUGGGGUCAUCGCCCGGGUAAGUCUGGGAGUGUCUGCGGUGGGUUUGAGGCUUUUGCAUGGCAGCAUGGAGUCUCCUGGUUGCUUCUGGUUUUGUUAAACUCUACCUGGAAUAACCCAGCACCACUGCUCAUCUCCUCUGUGGCCAUGGCUCUCUUCAUUGCCGCGUUUCCCCAGAGGCUGCUUCUGCAGACCGCAGGCCAGACUCGCAUCCUUUACCUUUCCAGAGCCGCCGUCUGGUGAGACCCAACAUUGUGACUUAAGCGCAGACCUCCCACCAGUGAACUCCCAUCAGCAAACCCCCGCAGUGAACCCCACAGUAUUGCCGUCCAUAGGGCUGCUGUUCUCAGAACAUUCACUUUCUUAUCAGAGGAUGCCUGAAGAAAGUGCCAGUGUUGGGGACAGCCCACUGUUGGUGGAGCUGUGACCGCAGCCAGCCAACCUGCCAGCCA